GACGAACGCUGGCGGCGUGCUUAACACAUGCAAGUCGAACGGUGAAGCGAGUGCUUGCACUCGUGGAUCAGUGGCGAACGGGUGAGUAACACGUGAGUAACCUGCCCUCCACUCUGGGAUAAGCGCUGGAAACGGCGUCUAAUACUGGAUACGACCAAUCCCUGCAUGGGGUGUUGGUGGAAAGAUUUAUCGGUGGUGGAUGGACUCGCGGCCUAUCAGCUUGUUGGUGGGGUAAUGGCCUACCAAGGCGACGACGGGUAGCCGGCCUGAGAGGGCGACCGGCCACACUGGGACUGAGACACGGCCCAG
rnacentral:rRNA from 1 species